rnacentral:lncRNA from 1 species
AAGGCUUAAAAACAUGAUUUUCUUAGAAAAAGCACAGUAGUUUCCUAUUAGAGUGACUUACUAUGACAUUGUGAAAUGAAAUCCACUCCUAAUGUGUCUGAAUUUGCAUAUGCAGUGGUUCUCCUCUUCCACCACGGCCCAUUUUAUUGAGCUUUCACAUGCAUAGGUAAAAGCUCAGAUUCUCAUUUACUGGAGGCUAAAAUUUAAUGACUUUGGUUCAAUUGCAAAAUAGGCUAGUGAGGUCAGGAAUUGAAAUCUUUAUUUAAGAUACUGAUUUUACCCCCCUCCAAGUUUCAAAAAGCAAUAAAGUACCUUCAUCUAUUUUCUAUCUCUAGGUUAGCAAUGACAAUUCAAUAGCAAUUGGAGAUACUACAAGCUACAUUGUGAAGCUGAGACCUUUCCUAAAAUUUCUGUCCUAACUUUAUUCAUUGUCAACAAACCUUGCCUUUUGCUUCCUUUACCGUCAUUUCCUAACAUAAUAGUAAAUGCUUGGAGCGUCUUACUUUCUCCAUAGAACUGUGAUAUAUUCAGUAAUCUCAGCAGUUGCAAAUGAUGAAAGCAAAACAUCGGUGGGAUAUUUGAAAUGUAAAUUAUAAAUAUGUAGUCCUUACAGAAACACAAUCCCAAACAAGUGCAUGAAUAAUGAAAGUGAAAUGUCCACAGUGACUGUUCUAAUGUGAAUUUUGCCACAUUAUAAACUGAAAAAAAAAAUGUAUUUUACUCCUCAAACUAUUUUUUACACAUCUGCCAAGAAUACUGUUAUGAAUGUGUCUUUGGCCUUGAAGGUCAUGAAGGUCAUUGUGUGAAUUCUGUCAAGGUAAGUGUCUAAUUCUACAUUCUGAAUAUAGAAGGCUCUAAAUGAGCAUGUUCCUUGAAAGAUAAAGACCUCCAAAUCAUCAACUCUUAUCCCACUAACUUGAGGCUGCUCCUAACCUGAAGGAAAUAUGAAAAGGGGCUGUACUAUUUAAAAAUCACACUUUAUUACUAGUUUGAGCCUUCACUCUGGGCUUUAUUUAGUUCUCCCAGGUGCUCUUGAUAGGAUUAUUUUUAAGUUAACCUAGAGCCUUUUCACUUAGACUUGAGGAAAACAUUUGAUGCCUACUUGAGGCUCGUCCACAAUUGUUGCGAGACAUGUUUUUAUAAUAUUUUCUUCGCCUCCUUACUGCAAACUCCAUCUUGUCCUUCCUUACUUUGUCCCGUCUUCCUGCUUGAGAAACAAUCACGGUGAUGGUAAAUGACUUAAGCUUAAGAACAAAGACCUAAAGGCAUGGGUUAUUCACGGGGUCAGCUGAAUGAGGACAUAAUACAUUGGUCUAGGCACUCCAGACCUGUGCAGAUUGGCACGCCAUUUGCACAUGCAUGAUAUGUCCUCUAAAGAAUACGAGAAAGAGAAAGAGGAACCUCAGACCAAGUGGUUUAUGAGUGGUCGUUAGCCGAAUAUGCAUUAGCAAAGAGAACCAAGGCGCAAACCUAGGCACACAGGGUUGCCUCAAGUAGGCAUGCCCUUGCGGAAGCACAGUGAGGAGUCUCUGAAAUGCUAUGCAUAGAUAACUAACUCAAAUGCUAAUGAUUCUUAAAUGCCUAAAGUUUAGAGUAAAACUUUAACCAUCUACCAGCUAAGUGACUUUUAAAAUAAUGAAAGAACUUAUAAAAUAAUUAAAAAAUCUAUAUCCUGCACCUACAACCCCCUUUACACUUGACGUAAUCCUCAAGAGCACAAUAAAAGCAGUGUGGUUUCUUGAGGCAGGGCUCUAGGUUCCUGAGACCUUGAGUCCCCCGUUCCCACCUUUACUUAAGAUAAUGUCUCUGUGUCUUGUUUUAUGUUAACUUUUUUCCUUAAGUUUCACAGCACCCCUUCUUCAGCCCCAUCCUGCUGAGCUGGUCUCUCGGCAUGCAAUGCCCACUCUGGUUUCAACUUUUGACCUUCAGAGAGGUAAUCUUUUAAAUGAUAAUUCCUGGUAGGAGAAGGUACAAAAUAAUUAUUUUAAUGUAAAACCUUUUAAUGUCUGCAUCUUCUACCAAAACCAAAGAACACACUAGCUCUUUGGCAGAAGUUUCUAGUUAAACAAUAAUCAAUAUUAAGGAUGCAAGGAACAAAGAGCUUCAUUUAGCGGCUUAGGAAUUACAAUUCAGGCGACACAAAUUCUGGUAAAACUGAAAAUGUUCUGGGGAAGAAAAAGAGACAGAGGCUUAUAGAAAACCACGAGGUUAUUAAAGUUGUCUGGCAGGAAUUAUGGUUGCUUCUGACACUGGAAAGGAGAUAUUUGUCCUUAAGGGAAAAGCUGUCAUGAGUCAUUUUAGGGUAAGUGUCUCUUAAGUAUCUUGUUUCUGGAACAUUGGGAAGAUGUUCUGAAUGCCUGCGUUAAGACAAUUAGUCUUUGAAGUUCAGAUUCCAUUAAGGCUGAGCUGAGCAUAAGUCGUACUUCCUCAAUGGCCUCCUGGCUCUAUUUUACAGCAUUCUCUUACAAUACUGACUCCAUUCUGAUUUUCCUUUUCCAUUCUUAGAUGCAACUUUGUAAGAGCCCUCCAAGUUGGAAGUUGAACAGUUAGUAGAGAGCAAGGGGAAAUGCCUUACUUUUUCUGAUGUUAAAGCCUAUGCUCAAUAGUCAGCAAAGCCCAGGCAUGUUAUUGAUGUUGGUAUCCAGCCUUAUAAGAACUGGCUACAUGCAGCUUACAGGGCAAGAAUUCUACCUGGAUUUCGUUGCUGUGUGGAAGGAAGAGUGGCCAUGCUACAGACCAGCUAACCUGAAGGACUGAGCUACACUCAGCUGUGCUGUGUUUUUCAUUCCUGUCACACUGAAUAUAUUAUUACUCCUUCCCGAUGAGGACUACGUGAGGGACUUAGAGACCAACUUCCCAAGUAUUCACAAGUUCUUACUGUAGGAAUAAAAACAGAAAGGCAAGAAGAGGACAAAAGUAGUUGAUCUUACACUGGGUAUAUGCUGGUGAUAUAGCGUCUAUAAACUUUAUUAUAAUACUUGAGCCUGAUUUAUAACCAAACCUCUGUGCUUCCCAAGCUACUGUAACUGUCUUACUAGCAACAUCAAGGGGCCGUUAUAAGACUCGAAUGUGCACUUUAAAAUUUGUCCUCCCCAGAGCAAACAGCGCAAUGAUGCUACACAAACUACAUAUGUUGGAAUCUAUAAUCUCUCAGAUACAUCUUUUUUCACCUUAAACACAGAGCAUGUUGACUUUAAGAUGAGAAAAAGAAAUGUGCUACAAGGUUAUUCAUCUUCUUUCCUCCCUUGAUUCUGAGAUUUCUAUUAGGAGAUGAAGUGAAUUCCAGUUAAUAGAAAACAGUGUAUAUGAAGGAUUCAACUUCAGAGACACAGUUGAGUCUUCAUGAUAUAGCAUUAUAGAUGGAAAAUGUUUACAUUAAAAUCAUAUGAAAAAAUGUUCUCAGUGAAAGGAGACAAAAUACCAGAAAGUAAAAUUAAUCCUAAUCAAAAACUCAGAUGUGCAAUCAGCAACCAUCAGUAAGUAGGAUAGAACUGAAGAAUAUAUUUGAUUUUAUUUUUCACAAAUGCAGACAGUGAAUUUGUACAAAAGGAAUUGUUCUUCAUUUUAUACAAGUGGUUUCUUUGUCCAUUCUCUUUCUCUUUGUUCUUGAUUCAUUUCAGUAAUGUCCAUUACGAGGAAAGGAAAUUAAAGGACCUAUAUUAUUAUAAAGGUUUGACAUUCAAUAAAUCAUAUUUU